rnacentral:rRNA from 1 species
UACGAAGGUGGCAAGCGUUGUUCGGAUUUACUGGGCGUACAGGGAGCGUAGGCGGUUGGGUAAGCCCUCCGUGAAAUUUCCAGGCUUAACCUGGAAAGUGCAGAGGGGACUGUUCAGCUAGAGGAUGGGGGAGGAGCGCGGAAUUCCCGGUGUAGCGGUGAAAUGCGUAGAGAUCGGGAGGAAGGCCGGUGGCGAAGGCGGCGCUCUGGAACAUUUCUGACGCUGAGGCUCGAAAGCGUGGGGAGCAAACAGG